AUACUCUUACUAGUCUUUUCUGAUGCCUCUUCCAGUCCCGCUUCAUCUUUCCUCUGAGAACAGAGUAUGCUACUCCAGCUGGAGUCUCUGCAAUGCCUCCCAGACAGCAUUUAGUGAUUUCCUGGGAUCCUUUGUAAGGAUGCUACAAGUAAACCUGUGUGCCUUCUCAAAGCCUGUCCUGAACCCACUGGAACACUGUACCGGACUCCACUGCAAGAAGGAGACUCUGUAACUUGAAUAUGCUUCUGGUGACCAAAACAGGUGACGGUUGAAAGAAUGAUCCAUUAAGUAAGAGAUGCACCAUAUAAUACUGGAAAUUUGAAGAUAUUUUAAGACCAUGAUUAUGUCCUGG
rnacentral:lncRNA from 1 species